CACAUUUCAAAGUACGUAUUACAGCUACGGUAGCCUUCAUGCCUCAAAAAGCUGGUCUUUUGCUCUUUUCAACAUCCUUUUUUUCUGGGUGAAGAAGAUGACGACUGUUCCUGAAACUGGGAUUUUGAAUACAUAACGUGUGGUCCUCCAUGUUUCCUUCUUCAAACUUGCCAGGCCGGGAAGCCACAAUACCCAUUAGCAGCGUUAGCAGCAUCUGUAAGUUUAUCAUGUGACAGC